UCGGGUGCGGAUGCGACCUUCCCGGCGAUAGCGGUGGCACUGGAUUCGAUCUGCAGGAGAGAGAGAGAGAGAGAGGAAGGUGUGGCUUCUAACUGGAGAGGGUCUCCACCGGCGUCGGCCUGCACCGGCGCGGUCAGGCGCGACCUGGCUUCUAGGGCGGCUUGACUACAGUCUAUAGGUGACCACGUCCCUUUUCUCCCCUUCUCCCGUAUGUAUCUCUCUAUGUUGUUUCUCCUCUUUUCUCACAGAAGAAACACACAAAGCAGUUAACAAUGGGAGGAUUUGGGGGCUGCUCAGUUCUGGAUAUGGGGGCUGCACAGGCUUGGAGCAGCAAGCCAUGGCAACGAAGAGCUGGAUCGACAUAUGAAGACGCGGGAGCUAAAGCAAAUAGACUGCGAGGUUAUCAGGAUACCGGAGAAAUGGGUUAUGCUUUAGUCCUUGUAAAUGGCACUGGUUUUUCUUGUGCAAGUAAAGCCUGACAGUGGUGUACUCCAGGCAAUGUGAAGGUGGGACUUUCCUAUCAGGCAUGACCUUGUAGCCAAACCCAUGAGGAGUCGGAGGCAGUUCCAGCAACUAACCAUGAAGCGACGGCGGAGAUCCAGUUCAUCUUUUAGGUCUGACCAGCACAAGGUGGCAACAACAGUAGUGGAGAAGGCAUGAAGAGGCCCACAUCUGAAAAUCCUUUCUGCUGACAGAUCAAGGGAGAUGGUCUUAGCAUCCACUAUACAAUGUUGUCCAAAACAUGGACGACUCUGGAAACUGAAAAGUAACAGAUUUUGCUUCCAGGCGCACAAAGGCCACCGAUCGGAUCAGCGCGAAGAAACCCGUUCGGACCGCUGCCGCAUGCCUCGCCUUAGCAACGGAUCAACCUCUGCACCUACAUCCACUUCGACAGGUCGUCAGUCAAAGCAGGACCAUUUUACCCUCCUUCAUGCGGAUGAAUCUGAUCAAGUUUAUUUCAAAUUCCAAUCUAGAGUAGUUACACUUUUUCGCCUCUGCCUGCCUGCUUCUAGCAGGGUUGCAUUUCUCCAAUUUUUACAGCUUCAAAUCACUACCUACGAAUUGCGUAUACGAUUCAUCAUCGUUCAAUUACCCCGUACCCUAUGUGAAUUAUAUUCUGAAGUACAGGUUGACAACAACCUACUAGCUGUACAUACUUUUCUAGCUGGUACACAGUAAAAAGAAAGGGCUUGAGUAAAUGCACAUUGUUCAUUUCAUAUCUAUCAGAAGUUCCUGCAUUUAUUUUCCAGUAGCCAUAAUCAAUGUCAGUCACACACUUUGAAGGUUUUACACUUUUAUUUGGUAUCCUACUGCGUUGCAUGAUAACAUCCACAUUUACACGUAUUUUAGGCCCAGUAAAGCAUUCCCCCCUGGUUUCUUCAGCUUGCAAGAAAUGUUAUGGAUUCUGGGUUGACAUUCUAUUUAUUAAAAAGGUGCCUACAUGGAAAAAAAUCAUUGAAAAGCCAAGUGAGACACAAUAACUGUCCACCCAAAUCAUUGUGCUGGCUCAACGCCCUCUGGGACACAGAGGCUGGCGGGCUCUCGCUCUGCACCCGCCAAUCCAACGAGGGUGCUAUCCUGUGAAUUUGCCCGAAUUCUAAAACUAUUGCAUGUGCACUAUAUGUAUGAUGGAAGGUUUCACUUAAGAAGUGUCCAAACUGAGGUACUAGAUAACUGGCAUACUUAAUGGAAGAGACAUUCGCCCUAACCUGCAACUGCACCAGUUAUAUAGAUGCACAUAUAACUGAUUUGUUGCUAUCUGAGACCAUUAUUUUAAUUGUGAAUCUUAUUUUUCUUUACCUCUAGGCCAUGAACCAUCUUACCCUUAAAUCAGAAUUCAUGUUUUUUUCGCUCCUAUUUUGUUCCUUACCAGUGAUAGUGCAGCUUCCUAAAUGCAAAAAGCUCCCGGGAAGGUAAAACUAUGAUGUUUCAUUAAAUUGAAAUCUGUCAUUUAUAUUUGACUGCUUCAUUCUUCUCUAAAACCACAGGUAUAUCCGUACAGUGAACUGGAUUAUACAUUAAUCGGUUGAUUCAGAGCUCUUGUAUCUUGAGUGGCAUUCACCUUUGGGAAAUUCAAGCGACCACAGGCCAUGAUCUUCUUAUCGACGUCUCACUGUUGAAAAGAGUUCUUAUGUGGGUUCUAUUUUAAUGUCUUUAUGCUUGUGAAGUACACGGUGGGGGCGCGCAUGGUUGAUGAUUAUGUUCUGGGUUGGCCAUUGAGAGGGAGGCUGAAGCAAAUUCCAUCAGGUUUCAGAUAGCUACUUCAGGUUAGGCGGGAGAAAUAAAAAGGGUGACCAUAGAUAUAUGGUCUAGCAUCACAAGGUUCAGGUAACUGCUGUUGAUCAACCGUUGCUUCGGUCGAGGUGGGUUAUGCUUGAUUAUGUUCUUUGUAUUUUUUUCAUGGCCUACACUCGUGUUAUCAUCUAUUCUGUUUCAAAAAUUUCAAUGACUUAGUUUCAUGUCCCAGUACCACUUGAAGUACAACUAAGUACCUUAUGACAUGACAAUGAUGUACGUAUUUACCUAUGGUUAUUGUUUCCUAUAAGAAACAUGAUCAUCUCACCUUGGUUUCCCCUGUAUCUGACUUGGGACAGUUUUAUGUGGGAUUUGUUUUGCAUUUUCUGUGUGUGUGGAUGCUUAAGCUUAAUCUUUUGUUAUUUGGUUCAGUUAGAGAUUGAAGAAGACUAAAAUUAUGGGCUCGCAACGAGGAUUGUUGUGUCCAACCUGCACAAUAAUGCCAAGAAGUCCUUCUUCGAGACGUAAGCCACGCCGCAUAUUUCUGCGAUGAUUUACUUCGGUUGGAUUUCGUGGAUUUAGGUGUUGAAAAAUUAUGGGUUGUGGAUGCAGGAUUAAGAACAUGUACCUGCACUACAAUGAGUGAUCUGGACUGCUUCUUUGUGGCUUCCAAACUUGAAAUGUUUUUUGGAAGUUAGUUUAGUUUUUUGGGCUUCUCACAUGUACCAUUCUCUUAGACCUUUAGAUUUCCAAAGAAACUAAAUGAAGAUAUGGUGGUAUGGUCUCAAUAGUACAACUUAAAGCUUUCCAUGCUUUA